rnacentral:lncRNA from 1 species
CCAGAGGAAGACACAAAGGCAGAAGGACGACUGGGACAGAACUGAAGAACUCUCUCUGCUGAGACACCGAAGCAUGAACAGAGAAGAAAAGCCAGCAGCCUCACUAUCGUAGUGGACUCAUCACUCCGGCCGGAUCUGAGACAGAGAAGCACAGAUCUAACAACUUGACAAAUCUGUAACAACAAGAAACCCAGAUCUACAAAAGCUUGAUAACAAAUCCGAAAAUGAAUCACAGAUCUGUCAUCAAAUAGCUUUAAAAAUGGUUAACAAAAGCAAUCUAAGCCAU